AACGAACGCUGGCGGCAUGCCUAACACAUGCAAGUCGAACGAGACCUUCGGGUCUAGUGGCGCACGGGUGCGUAACGCGUGGGAACCUGCCCUUAGGUUCGGAAUAACUCCCCGAAAGGGGUGCUAAUACCGGAUAAUGUCUUCGGACCAAAGAUUUAUCGCCUUUGGAUGGGCCCGCGUUGGAUUAGCUAGUUGGUAGGGUAAAAGCCUACCAAGGCGACGAUCCAUAGCUGGUCUGAGAGGAUGAUCAGCCACACUGGGACUGAGACACGGCCCAGACUCCUACGGGAGGCAGCAGUGGGGAAUAUUGGACAAUGGGCGAAAGCCUGAUCCAGCAAUGCCGCGUGAGUGAUGAAGGCCUUAGGGUUGUAAAGCUCUUUUACCCGGGAUGAUAAUGACAGUACCGGGAGAAUAAGCUCGGCUAACUCCGUG
rnacentral:rRNA from 1 species